CAAAAAAAACCCCGAACCUAGUUUUGAAUGGUCGUGGCUCCACUCCACUGAAUCAGUAGCCACAAGAAAGACGUCCUUUUCUCCGGGAGCUGCAUGGGGACUGCAGGAGUCCAAAGUCUCGCUGUGUUUUAUGGGGAACAGUUAUUAAUAUUGGGUCAAAUAAUCCAGUAUUUCUUCACUCUGGUGCUGAAGGUCCGCUGUGCUGCUCUGUACUGUGUUUCCCUUUUACUCUGUUUUCAUUUAAAGCCCCUCAGUCUUAAAACAGCGGCACUAGCGGGCCUUCAGAACCGAUAGUGAUUAUUACCCUGCCGGAUUAGAUUAGAGCAGCGCGGCGGAGCUCUGUAAGUCCCGGUGACGCUGCAACUGGAUUUUAUAAAGAUAUGAGAAAAGAAUGCUUUCGUCGUGGAUUUAACAUGAAAAGGUAAGCUGCUGUUAUGUUCUGAUCUGUGCAGGCAGUUUAUGCACUUAACGUAACUCCGUUAGACAACUAACUUACAGAGCUAGCGUUUGUUGUGUCUCCGGCUUAGUUUUCUGCAGUCCAUGAUUUAUUAGCUAAGGUGUUUAGUUUAUUUUGACCCCAAACAGCAGCAUUCACUGCAUUUUGCAUACUAUUAACUAACCGCGUGAAUCCACCGUACGUGCAAGUUACGAGUAACGGAUUAGUAAACACACUCUUGUCUUUUUUUUGAAUCCUCACAGUUUCUGUCAGAAAACACUGAAAGAAAACUUCUCCUCUGUCUCUGUUUAUACAGCGAUGGUUUGGGUUUAAAGCUGGGUUUGUUGUGCUGGAUAUUUGGUUAGGAGCAAGUUACACCCGCAGCUAACCAGUGACUUUAAAAAACAAAUAAACACAGCUGUUACUGGACUUUAUGGGUUUUAAAAAAAUGAGUUAAUUACUUUUAAAAGACUAGGCUACUAAUGUUGGCCCUGCUGUGUCCAGCUGAUCAUCCAGAAAUAAACAUUACCUAUGCUGGUCAAAAGCUAUUUAAAGAGCUAACCUCCCAGGGUGUGUUUGUUUGUUUUUUUCUGGUUUUGAGCAUUUUUUUAAGGAGGGAGUGUACGUCUGAGCUGCAGUAGAAGAGUGUAAUUUUAGAAAAGUUGCUGUAUUUGUCUCACUGUCUUAGAUAGUAUAGACUUUAAACAUGUUACUAAAAAUUAACACUGGACUGUGUUUUUAAAUACUUGCCAUUCUGGAUGUCCUGAACAUUUUCAUGCAUAUUUUUAUGUCGGUUAGUUUUAUUUAUAUAAAGUAAGACCUGUAGAUCUACUUUAUUGGAUAAAUUGAUACAGCUACCAUGAACUGUUUUGUUUCUGUUCUGUAAAAUCAGGCCCAGUUCCAAAAGACACAACAUCCUCAGUGUCCUGGAGCUCCAGCUGAAGCACUGGCCACUCCACCUUCUCCAUCCCCACCCAAAAGAGGUACUUCUAAGGCAGCUAGUUGAAGGCGUGAUUGAGGUCCAUGCCAGAGGGGUUCUGCACUGUGACCUCAAGCCAUAGAACAUCCUGGUUCAGAUGUACAGUUAGGAACCACGCCUUCAUCUUCUGUUCUUCUGGACCUUCCUCAUGAGUGGUUUACCCAUGAGGCCAAGUCCUCCACAGUGUUGCAGAUAGGAAUCAUCCUGCUGUGUGUGAGAGGUGACCCUUCAACACCAGCACGGAGAUCACCUCAAAGAAGUCUCAGAUCAUCUCUCCACCAUCUGCUCUAUGACCCCUGGCUAAGUAUACACCACGACACAGCCACCACAUCAGGCACACCUCAGUCAGGUACCAUAUAAAACAAUAAUAAUAAUAAUUUUAAAAAAUCAAUAUUUUCAAUCUCUAGUUUAGAGAGUUCUCUAGUAGAGCUGGGCGAUUAAUCGAUUUUAUCGAUAAAUUCGAAUUUAUAGUUAAGGACAAUGUGUUUUUAUGAAAAUCGAUUUUCUCUGAGUUUUCUUUUUCACCACAGACGCUCCUCUGUGGGCACAGAGUGAGCUUAGCUAGCUCCCUCCAUACCUCCCUCCCUCCAGCGCGCGCACCCCCCGCCCCUCCCUCACUCCCUCCCUCCCUCCCUUGCACGCACAAACACACACGCGCACACACACAUACACAAAACACAUGACGGCGGAGCUUAAGAGCAACUAGCUCCGUGAUCUGGAGUUGGUUCGGUGUUGCGGCGUUGGACGUAGACCAAACAGGUCCUCGCUGUAAGGUGAACCAAUUUAUCACUAUACCUUAAACAGAACCAUGUAGCGGAGUGGGAGAAGUGCUGCUACCAUAGGAGUGAACGCAGCAGCAGCACCAGUUCACCAUUCAACGUUAAACAAGGAACUGUCCCUGGCACAUCUUCCAACUGUGUACCAGGUUUUGUAUGCACUACAAGUUAAAAUGUUUUGCAUAUUCAUGAGAAAAGAUCUCAUUUUAUAGAACACUGGCACUUUUUUAAAUGCUUUGUUUUGCAAUUCUAGCCCAAUAGGGAAAAGUAUUUACUUAAGAGCAUAUAAAUUGUACUUGUUUUCUAUUGUCUACUUUGUAAGUUUUAUCAAAAAAGGGCACCAUUUUAUUUAUUUCUAUUUGUUUUUAAGGGUGUGUUUAUUUAUUUAUUUAUUUUUUAAGUUUGAGGGUGCAUUGUGUCAGUACCUAAACUAUGUUGGAGAAAGCUUUCUAAAAGUCACUAGAUGUUCUCACUGUUUACAAUAGUUUUUUUUUGCUUGUUUCUGGUUGCACUUUAACCACAAAUGGAACAUUUUAAGUGAAAACAAAUUAAAUAAGAACUAGUUUUUAACCAUUUCUUUAUCAUCUUUAGUUUGAUUUUUAGUAGGGGGAAAAAAUUGAUUUAAAUCGAAAAUUGGAUUUAAAAAAAAAAAAAUCUAAGAUUUUUUUUUUUCGGCCAUAUUGCCCAGCUCUAUACUCUAGUUUAGAGGGGUUUUUUUUAUAAAACACAGCUAAGGAAAAUAGCAGGUAUUAAUAAAGCUAUUGAUUCCAUACUUUUAAAAAGGUAAUGAUUUUCUUUAACUAUAUAAAUGUUUUAAUCGUUUUGUGUAUUGUAUGCUUUUAAUUGCUUCCUGUUUUGUAUUUGUGUUCAUGUACUUAAGGCUUUAAUCCUUUUAUCUUGAUAUUGUUUAUCUUUUGAUGUUUAUUAAUUACUUAACUGUAUUUAUCUUUAUGUAGUAUACUGUUAGUGUUUUAAUCCAUACACUUUUUGUAUAUAUUUCUUUUAUUGCUUAGUUACUUGCUUUAUUAAUGGUUAUUGUAUUGGUGUUUUAGUCUUAUUUUGGGCUUAUAUUCAUUAAAAACAUUUUAACGUUUGUCUUUUAGUGCUUUAAUCAAUUAAUAUUGUACUUAUCUUUUACUAUUUUACUAUUAAUCUUUCUGUACUUAAUUAUACAUUAUUUUUUAUUUAUUUUUUUAUAAAAUUAAAGGCGGGUUUAUUAAUUGUAUGUCUUUAUACGGGAUUUUAUAUUUGCAUAUUUUUGUUUCAUUUAAUGUUUAUGCUCUUUUGUCUUUUUCAGAUUUUUACAUUUUUAAUUUGUGUAUUGACCCAAGGAGUAUGGGUUCCUCUCAAGGUUUCUAUCUCUCUCUUCUGAGAGAAUUUUCUUUGCCGCUGUCUCCUUUGUGCUUACUCAAAAGAGGUUUGGACACUUUUUUUUUUUUUAACUGUUCUUAAUUUUGUUUGUUUCUUAACUUUGUCAAUAAAUGUUUUUUUAUUGCUAUCA